CCAGGCGUUAUCCGGAUUUAUUGGGUUUAAAGGGAGCGUAGGCGGAUUGUUAAGUCAGCGGUUAAAGGGUGUGGCUCAACCAUGCAUUGCCGUUGAAACUGGCGAUCUUGAGUGCAGACAGGGAUGCCGGAAUUCGUGGUGUAGCGGUGAAAUGCUUAGAUAUCACGAAGAACUCCGAUCGCGAAGGCAGGUGUCCGGGCUGCAACUGACGCUGAGGCUCGAAAGUGUGGGUAUCAAACAGGAUUAGAUACCCUGGUAGUCCACACAGUAAACGAUGUAUACUCGCGGUUUGCGAUAGAUUGUAAGCCGCCAAGCGAAAGCAUUAAGUAUACCACCUGGGGAGUACGCCGGCAACGGUGAAACUCAAAGGAAUUGACGGGGGCCCGCACAAGCGGAGGAAC
rnacentral:rRNA from 1 species